rnacentral:lncRNA from 1 species
CUACUCUUCAUGAUGUUCGCAAUGACCCCCCUCAAACCAGAAUCCUGAUUUUCCCACUGCUUAUGAGGAUAACGCAACACCACCAUUCUUGCGUUUGCUUCCCCUUUACAGUCAAACAUUAUAUUUUAGGCAUAUAUCACAUUUAUCUGGAGACGAGUGUGCAUUUCACGUCACUAGCAAUUACAAGCCUAAUUGCUUGCAAGCUUUUAACUUCCUUACGUAUGCAGAUGCAUUUUGAGUAAAAGACACUUAGGUGAAUCUAAAGACAAAUAAUAUUACUUGUCUUUAUAAAUAUAUAGUCACGAGUCAGGAUGCUUCUGUUUCGGUGAUUAAUUUCUUGCAUUUUUGGAGCUCUCUCUUUGCUUUUGACUGUGAAAUGUGACAAGAGCACUUGAACAGUUGUCUAAAGCGUUAAUACAAAGUGGAGGACAGUGAUGUUUAGUUUGAGGAGUUGCUCAAUAACAAAGAUAGUGAUCUUCCAUAUAAAGACCUUUUUGGAGUCUGAGUUUCGUAGCAAUCGUGGUCUAGACUAUUUGCUUUAUUUAAAAUAGUUACUCAAAUAAGUUUUUUUUUUUGGGAUAAGCUUCUCCUAUAGGUUACUCAAAUACUUAAGAAAUUUAAAAUUUGGAGGAAAGAAAUAAGGACUCGAUAAGACACCUAAUAGUUCAGUUAGGAGGCUGCCCUUUUCAUUGAUUUAAUUUGUUUCAUUAGAUUAUGGAGCUACAUAUAUAUCUUAUUUGACUAUAAAUAUCUGACAAUUGCACUGCACAAAUUGCUUAAAGUUCCGUUUGGUAUUUUUGUGUGAUAAUUAUUUGGUAUUUGAGCCUUGCAAAUGUAGGCAUAGUUUUGAAAUUUAAGGUACUUCGCACCACAAUUGAUUAUUAUUUUAUUAAAAUAAUUACUUUCAACUUUUAUUUCACAACGAAACUUCUACUUUAACGAUAUCGUGACUUUCAGUCACAAUACCAUAAUAACAAACAGAGCCUAAAACCAUUAUAAGAUGUUUUCGUUUGCGCUCGUGGGUGUAAAAUUUUUCCUCUACUGAAUUUGACACACUUCUCUUUCUGAAAUGAAUUAUAGAUGAUUCAAUGCUUUUUUUUUUUCAACACUGUUACUUGACAACUGUUGAUUUAGUGCUUCGCACCGAAUCGUUGUCCCUUAAAUUAUACUCAAGGCUAAGUUAUACGGAUGAGCUUCAUCUAGGUGCAUGGGUUCUAUAGAUCUCUGAUUGGCCUUCCUUGUCAAUCUUACAUGCUUUUGAGUAGAAGCCACUUUUUUUGCUUGAAUUGUGUCAAAUUCUGUUGUACUGAUUGAAUUUUUAACAAACUGAUUAGUUCAGCUGACUGGUCAGCUUCAAUCCUUGCAUUUAGUCAUUAACAAAAUAGUGUUAGUCGUUUUCUUCCCCUCUUUUACCUAUUUCAUCUCUAGAAACUUGUUAAAUUGAUGGCAGUUUUGUUGGGGAAAAUAUCUCACAUUGGCUGAGUAUUGAACUUAGUUAAACAUAUAAGACUUGUACAACCUUCAACUCAUAAGCUAACUUUUAGGUUGAGUUAGGCCGUUGACUUCUAUAUAGUAUCAAAACCAAACUCACAUGCACUAGUAGCACCUCAUUACCUUACCAUGUGACAAGAACCACUAAAAAAGAUGGGUCUGUAUGUGAAUUGAACUUGGAUUAAGUAUAUAAGAAUUGGACAACUCUGAGCUAGAGCGCCAGUUGACAAUUUUCAUCUUAAAAAAUUAAUUGUUCCAAAGGAAAAUGACAUUUACAUUCUCAAGAUUAGAGGAAAUGGUGAUGUAGAUCCCCAAAUUUUUAAUAGGGACUACCAAAAUCCUUUUUUGACUAUAAUAUCAUUUGAUUCUAUAAACUCAAAAAAAUUAAAUCCAAUUCUUUAUAAUC